UUAAAAGAAAAAAAUUUCAGGCGAUUCUGGAUACCCGCUGGAGCCAUGCCUGAUGACACCUUCACCAAACGAGCCAGAAGGAACACCAAAGUUUCGCUACAACGAGGCGCUAUGUAAAGCACGUAACCCGAUCGAGAGACUCUUUGGCGUCCUUAAAGGCAAAUGGCGGUGCUUAUCACGGCAAAGAGUACUUUUGUAUGACCCCGGCUUUGCUGGCGGAGUAGUUAACGCGUGCGCAACAUUGCAUAACGUUCGUUUGGGCGAUCAAACAACCGAUUUUGACGAUCGGGUUGUUUAUGAUCCCGAAAUACUAAGCACUAAUGACGAUUCCGCAGCACCUUCUUCAGUAGCGAAACGUGUUCAGCAACGAAUUAUAGCAAAUUUUUUUUUAAAUAUUCCUAUAACUUAAUAUAUGCCGUCAACGAUCGUCUCGAUGAUAGGCCAGCCAUCCACCAAGAGACGCAAGUAAGUACCAUUAUAGCAAAUUAUAUCAACUUAUUUAUUUUACAUGAGUUCGCUUUUAUCAUGGAUGACUGCCUUUAUUUUCUAGAUUUGUUCAAUGCACGUUAACUAACGCCUUUAUUUGUUAUCCGUUUUUUAUCAUCUUCCUCUGCACAAUAAAAUGGGCAACGCUUUUUGCAUUAUAUGUAAUGCAUAUUCAACAAAUCAACAGUAUUUAUUUUUCACGUUCAAUGAACAUUCUUGGCGAGCCGUUAAAUGGCACCGCUAAACCUGCGAACUAACCAGCUAAAUUUAUUGAUUUUGAUAGCCUCAAUGAAAAAUUUCCACACCUGCGCCGGCUUUAGUAGCAAUGUAUGCACGAUUGCUCGUUCAUACGAAAUCGAACCGGUGGACAUUAAAAGGAUUCUUGCAGCAAUUGUUGCCCGCUGUUUCCAAGCAUCAAUACAGCCUAUAUUGCUGACAAUGUUCCUAAAUCUAUUACAAAACAACCAACCCAACAGCGCCCUUACACUGUGCGGGCGUUUCGCAGUAAGCCAAUAAAAAACAAUUGAAUUUGUGAGUGCCGGUGCUGUUGUGAAGGGUUAUUCAUGGAUACCACAAAAAGAGAUACAAAGCUACAUCAAUGCUGUUGGCAUAAUACUCGCUUCUCUGCCUGAGAAAUAUUGGAAUGCAAAUGAUCACCAUAGUGAGCCACUGAUACCUAUGUGUGUUCAGUUGGUAAUUGCAUUCCGCAUUCUUUUUGGCAUGGUCGUUUGUUGAACCAGCCCACAUAACAGACGCUCGUUUGGCAAGUUCUAUUUCCGUUGAUUGAUAAUGUGCGUGCGCUUUCCAGUACGGGAAGCAGUGAGAAGGUGGAUGGUGCUGCCUUGAGUAAAAAUUGUGAAGACUCGCUGGCCGCACUAAAAUCGCUGCAAGAAAUUAUGCAUGACAAUGCAGACAAAUUGGCGUCACUUACUAACGAGGAAACAGCGGAAUCAAAGAUGAUGAAUUUGCAGGGUGAGUUGUGUUUAGCGGGAAGUUUAGUACCUUUUUAGAUCUCUUAUUCAUUUCUUGUACGUAGAUUGCAUGGAAUAUUUGGCUAAAUAUCGGCAUUGAAAGCACAAAGAUCACAACGAAAAACAACCAUGCCAAAGAGGAGUUUUAUGUGCCUAUUCAGGCAUUUUUAACAGCGCUAAUACAAAUUUUCUAGCACAUACAACUGCGGGGGUGAUACAUCAUUGAAUUCGAAUGUCUUAACUGGGCGCUUGGCGGUUACUGCUUUACUACAUCGAUUCCAAUACGUUUUGAAGCGUUUCAAUGACGACGAACGGCUGAUGGGCGCCGUGCAAGGGUCACAGUAGUUCAUUCCGGGGUAUUGGUCGUAACUAUCAGUGAAGUGCACAGCUGCCAAAUGAGCAUUAAGUCAAUUAAAGAACCAGUUUGAUAACAAAGAAGGAUCAUACCACAACAUUACCGGCACCCUGACACUUAUUGAAUAAGUACCAAUUAAGUAAAUAACAAACCGUCACCUGAAAUGCAAAAAGACGUAAGAAUAUCGUAAAUUAUAUUGAAAAAGUCGUGACUAAUAUUUUAAUUAUUUUUUUCAUAAAAUGAUGUGGGAAGUUGUAACUCGUUGAAAUCCAUUAUAUAAAUCAAAAAGUAAAUUUUGAAUUUUUUAUUAGUUAUGACUUU